AUGUGGCCCCUCUGGAUCCUCAAGGACUGCUGCCUUGAGAGGCUGGCAGAUCCCCCGGACAGGAGAAUAGUCUCAGCCAUCACAGGCCUGAGCAGCAAUGGAAGUGAAGAACCCUCAAGCGGCUUCACAGGCAGCCAAAUUCCACAAGGGGGCGGGGCAGUCGAGAGCAGAAGAAAGAGAGGCUCCUGGAACCAAGGGGGGACUAACUGCUCCCUGGACCUGUAUUUGUGCAGUGCAAAGGAGGGACCGAAGCAGCCGAGAGAACGUGCCUCUCAGAGCUCCACCUGCAGGAAUGUGUUUGACCAUCACGACUUCCCACAGGCUGCUCCCAGCCAAUGACAGCACAACAGGGACACUAAGGCAGGCCUGUGCCCAGGAGAAGCGGGACUCCUCUGACAGAUGACUUUGGCUCAAGGACUCCUCAUCAGUACAGCCAGAACUUUCGGAGAACUGCGCUACAUUCUAAGACUCCCUGUCUAAACUUCCUUCCUCUCCCUUUCCUCCGCAGAGGUCAGACCCGCAUCACAGCUAUGCUCUCCCGACCUCCUCUGGCUUUCUCACUGUUUCCCCUCUCAGGUCUUUUCCCUGAAAAUCUCCUGGGGUCUAAUCUCAUCUUGGCAUCUACACCUUGGAAGACCUGAAGAGAACCUGUUGCUAUUGUGUAUAAAACUCACUUCUGAGCUUCCUGGCAAUCAAAGGGAAAAUAUUGUGUAUGUUAAUCAUUAGUGCUCUUCAUCAAAUACUUCCAGUCCCCCUACUUCCAAGCACACUAGCAUUACCCAUCCAGGUUCAUUUUUGCCUGCUGCCCGGAAAGCUAAACACCAAGACGACGAGAUUGCAGCAGAGAAAGGGUUUACUCACAAGGCAGCCACGUGAGUAAGUGAGAGAAUGAGUCUCAAAUCUGCCUUCCUGAAAAUGGAGACUCAGGGAUAUUUAUGGGGUAGGAGGCAAGGUGGUCUAAAAUGUAGAGACAGAUGUUUGGAGGUGAGGAGAAGUGAGGUAAUUGAUGACCUGUGCAAGCGUAGUCAGACUCCAUGCCUCUUCCUAGGACGCAUGUUCACAAAGUGGCAGCGUGAGCUGGAUCGGGGGGUGGAGUUUUGAGCCUCUUGAUGUCAAAAGGUAGCUUAUGGGACAUCUGCAUGGGCCCAGUUGAUGAGUUCGUGGUCUCAACAGGCCUGAAGUGGACAAGGGGGUUUUAAUUCCUGAAAAACAGCUCAAACACCCAUUACCCUGGUGAUCCAGGCUCCAGGGAGAUGCUAUCUGUAGGAGCCUACUAGGAGUCAGAUAGCACAUUGCCUGAGCAGCACAGUUAACAAUGGGUGGGUAAACAGCUAAAAGCUAUAAUUAGUCAUUGCAAAAAGGAAAAAGAACUUCAGUUCCUACUACCUAACCAUCAAUGGCUAACUGUUUGCCCAUUUCACUAGGAGGACUGCUUCCUUGAAUUGGGUGGGGCCAUGUGACAGAGGAGUUGCUCUAAGUUAAUAUUUGGGGGAUCCUUUUUAUAACCAUAACCCAGCCUUUUCUGACUAAUAUAUAUUGGAUCUUAUUAUCUAAUUGAGAGUUUGCCAAUAGUGGCAUGUGAUAUUAUGAUUUAUAAUGAGAAACAUAUAUUUGGUCUUCAUCCACUGUUUCUGGCAUAGAGCCCCUAAAACUUUUGGAAUUUCCUAGGUGCUGAGAGCCCAAAAGGUACCUUUUGUUAUGUCAAUGAGGCGGCUUUUGGAAAGCCCCUGGGGAAGGGAGCUGGCUGCCAGGGGAACCAACCAUGUGGUUAGAGAGCUGGGACUUUCAGUGCCAUCCCUAGCCUCCAGGGAAGGGAAGGGGCUGGAGAUUGAGUCCAAUCACGAACGGCAGAUGAUUUAAUCAAUCAUGCCCACGUAAUGAAUCCCCCACAAAAACCCAAAAGGAAAAGGUCGGAGAGCUGCCAAGUUAGUGAAGCAAACACUGCCAUGUGCCAAGGUGCUGUGCCCCAGACUCCACAGGGACAGGAGCUCCUUUGUUCAGGACCUUGCCCUAUGUAUCUCUUUACCUGGCUAUUGAUUCGUACCCUUUAAUAUCCUUUGUAAUAAACAGGAAAUCUAGUGAGCUCUGUGAUCCGCU
rnacentral:lncRNA from 1 species